AAGGAUUCCCCUAGUAACUGCGAGUGAAGCGGGAAAAGCUCAAAUUUAAAAUCUGGCGGUCUUUGGCCGUCCGAGUUGUAAUCUAGAGAAGUAAUGCCCGUGCUGGACCGUGUAUAAGUCUCCUGGGAUGGGGCGUCAUAGAGGGUGAGAAUCCCGUCUUUGACACGGACUACCAGUGCAUUGUGGUAUGCUCUCAAAGAGUCGAGUUGUUUGGGAAUGCAGCUCAAAAUGGGUGGUAAAUUCCAUCUAAAGCUAAAUAUUGGCGAGAGACCGAUAGCGAACAAGUACCGUGAGGGAAAGAUGAAAAGAACUUUGGAAAGAGAGUUAAACAGUACGUGAAAUUGCUGAAAGGGAAACGCUUGAAGUCAGUCGCGUUGGCCAGGGAUCAGCCUUGCUUUUGCAUGGUGUACUUUCUGGUUGACGGGUCAGCAUCAAUUUUGACCGCUGGAAAAGGGCCUGGGGAAUGUGGCAGCUUCGGCUGUGUUAUAGCCCCUGGUCGCAUACAGUGGUUGGGAUUGAGGAACUCAGCACGCCGCAAGGCCGGGUUUCGACCACGUUCGUGCUUAGGAUGCUGGCAUAAUGGCUUUAAGCGACCCGUCUUGAAACACGGACCAAGGAGUCUAACAUGCCUGCGAGUAUUUGGGUGGAAAACCCGAGUGCGCAAUGAAAGUGAAAGUUGAGAUCCCUGUCGUGGGGAGCAUCGACGCCCGGACCAGAACUUUUGGGACGGAUCCGCGGUGGAGCAUGUAUGUUGGGACCCGAAAGAUGGUGAACUAUGCCUGAAUAGGGUGAAGCCAGAGGAAACUCUGGUGGAGGCUCGUAGCGAUUCUGACGUGCAAAUCGAUCGUCAAAUUUGGGUAUAGGGGCGAAAGACUAAUCGAACCAUCUAGUAGCUGGUUCCUGCCGAAGUUUCCCUCAGGAUAGCAGAAACUCAUAUCAGAUUUAUGUGGUAAAGCGAAUGAUUAGAGGCCUUGGGGUUGAAACAACCUUAACCUAUUCUCAAACUUUAAAUAUGUAAGAACGAGCCGUUUCUUGAUUGAACCGCUCGGCGAUUGAGAGUUUCUAGUGGGCCAUUUUUGGUAAGCAGAACUGGCGAUGCGGGAUGAACCGAACG
rnacentral:rRNA from 1 species